GUGAAUCCCAUGCUCUGCUUCCAGAACCCUGCAGACAGAGGGUUGAAACAGCAGUUUGCUCACCUACUCGAUAUCUUUUCUACUAAAUAGGUAACCCAGAGGAAAAAGAGCCAACCUUGCAUCCACCUCUGUGGACACACGCCCAGGUAUCCGCUUCAGUAUUUCAGCUCCAAAGAGUACAAAAAGUUUGUCACAAGCAUUUUUGAUCUGUUCCUCUUCUGACCUGGAAAGCACAGAGAGCAAAAGCAUUUCUAUGAGGGGGAGGAAAAGCAAAUGUGCAUUCAUGCCUUGCCAUGGAUUUGAAGAUCUAAUUUCACAGCCCAUUUAACAUUAAGUUCCAGAGUUCGAACAGCCACUUCUCUGCUCCGUGUUUAUGUUGCACCUUCCCUGCACCACCAGCAGUGUUACCUUUGGACACUCUCUCCUAUAAUGCAGUCCGCUCCAGAGUGUUUCCCUGAGCAGCCUAGAAGGCCAUGUGUGAAUUGGUGCUUCAAAGCACAUCCAAAAUGAGCACAAGAAAUUCUGUCUUUAAGGAUUAAGGCUUUUUGGGGCAGGAGAUACAUCCAGGAGUACAUGAGGGGAAAACCUCAGGACAUUGCUAGUAGUACUAAAGACUAUUUGUAUAAAUAAGAUGUCUUAGAUAUCCAUGGAGAUAAAAACCCCGCUUUAGUUACCCGCCAAGCUUCUUCCCAUAGGCAACAGCAUCAUCCACCAGUUCCUGGUAAGCUGGCAUCUGAGCAGCAGCUAGGAUCAGAGAGGGGUUUGUGGUGGCAUCCAGGGGCUUGUACUCAUCAAUUGCUAGAGAAAUAAAAAGAGCCUGUUUAGAACCAUGA